GUGGGUGGCAAGCGUUGUCCGGAAUUAUUGGGGCGUAAAGCGCGCGCAGGCGGUCCUUUAAGUCUGAUGUGAAAGCCCACGGGCUCAACCGUGGAGGGUCAUUGGAAACUGGAGGACUUGAGUACAGAAGAGGAAAGCGGAAUUCCAAGUGUAGCGGUGAAAUGCGUAGAGAUUUGGAGGAACACCAGUGGCGAAGGCGGCUUUCUGGUCUGUAACUGACGCUGAGGCGCGAAAGCGUGGGGAGCAAACAGGAUUAGAUACCCUGGUAGUCCACGCCGUAAACGAUGAGUGCUAAGUGUUAGGGGGUUUCCGCCCCUUAGUGCUGCAGCUAACGCAUUAAGCACUCCGCCUGGGGAGUACGGCCGCAAAGGCUGA
rnacentral:rRNA from 1 species